rnacentral:rRNA from 1 species
UACGUAGGGUGCGAGCGUUGUCCGGAAUUAUUGGGCGUAAAGAGCUCGUAGGCGGUUUGUCGCGUCUGCCGUGAAAGUCCGGGGCUCAACUCCGGAUCUGCGGUGGGUACGGGCAGACUAGAGUGAUGUAGGGGGAGACUGGAAUUCCUGGUGUAGCGGUGAAAUGCGCAGAUAUCAGGAGGAACACCGAUGGCGAAGGCAGGUCUCUGGGCAUUAACUGACGCUGAGGAGCGAAAGCAUGGGGGAGCGAACAGG